UACGGAGGAUGCGAGCGUUAUCCGGAUUUAUUGGGCGUAAAGCGAGCGCAGGUGGUUUAUUAAGUCUGGUGUAAAAGGCAGUGGCUCAACCAUUGUAUGCAUUGGAAACUGGUAGACUUGAGUGCAGGAGAGAAGAGUGGAAUUCCAUGUGUAGCGGUGAAAUGCGUAGAUAUAUGGAGGAACACCGGUGGCGAAAGCGGCUCUCUGGCCUGUAACUGACACUGAGGCUCGAAAGCGUGGGGAGCAAACAGG
rnacentral:rRNA from 1 species